CAAGUGUGACAUUUCAAUUUGGCGUUUUCUUGACAGAGAUACUGCAGUGAUGUGCCAUUUCCUUCUCCAACUCAUUUAAUAUAUCAGAAACUGAGGCAAAUGGGGUUAAGGGACUUGCUUGCCCUAUAUCACACAGCUAAGUAAAUAACUGAGACUACAUUUGAAUUUAUCAUGAUGAGUCUCCCUGCCUCUGGCCUGAUGCUCUAUCCACUUACCCCUUGGGAUGUUUAGCUCUAAUAUUCUCUUCAACAGGUGACCAUUACAAAUCUGCUGUCAGACACAUAGCUAGUAAGAACUGUCUUUGAUGAAUACAAGUCACCUGGACUAGAUAAACCUAGCUAAGGUGAUUGCUGAGCCACUAUGAGGACUAUCCAAAGGAUUAUGGAAACCAGGAGGGGAUUUGCAGGACUGGGGGACUGGCAGUGCUUAUGACAAGUUUCAGACAAAAAGGGAAAAGACUGGUCAACAAUAGGCCCAUGAACUUGAUUUUGAUUCUUGGCACAAUGCUAGCUCAUAUCAUUCAGGGGAUGCGGUGUCUGCUUGUCCAAAUUUUGUGAAAAAAAAAAGUCUGUCUUCUGAGUUACAAUAUCACUUUCCCAACUUGCAGUAGAUAUUUUAAACUAAAUGUCUAGUGUCUGAAGCUCAGCAUUUCCAAAACGGAAAUCAAAGUCCAUCCCUCAAAAAUCAAUAUUUUACUGAAUAUCAAAAUCUAGAAAAGGAAGCAGAGAUAUGAAGGCAUGCCAGACAAGUCUCAUUUGCUUUUCUGAGAGUUUUAUUAAGUUUUCAGAAUUACUUCUGAUAAAGAAGGAGGAUAUUGCUGGAGAUAAAAUUUAACUAGAUUUCACCAAACAUGAUAAAGUAUCUCAUGCUCUUGUGGAAAAGUUAGAGAGAGAAGGUUAAACAAUAAUAAAAUUAAAUGAAUUCAGAGUUUGUUGUAUAAUCAUUUUCGGAGUGCUCAAUAGUGGGAAAAUGUCAUUUUAGGCGUUCCAGAGAUCUGGCCUUGAUCUUAUAGAGUAUUACAUUUUCUUAAUAACUUAGAUAAAGUCUCAGAUGACAUGCUUAUCAAAUUCUACAAAAGUUGGGAGGGAGUUUUAGCACCAUGGAUAACUGAGUUAGGAGCUAAAUAGAACUUGGUAUGUUAAAAAAUAUAAGACCAAUAUUCUGGGAAGCAAUUUGAAAUUAUGUCCACAAAGAUAUAUACCUUUUGUGCAUACCCUUUGACCAGGUAUUAUCACAAUUAGACCUAUUCACCAAAGAAAACAAAAGAAGAGGAAAGAAUUUCUACAUAGAAAAGUGAUUUUUAAGUUUUUUUUUUUUGAAGUAACAAAAAAAUGGAAGUUGAAUGUUCAUUUGCUGGGGAAUGACUGAAAAUAUUAUGGUAUAUGAAUGUAGUGGAAUAUUAUUGUGCCAUAAGAAUUGAUUGAUCAAUAAACGUUAUUAUUUACUAUGUGUUAGGCAUUGUGCUAAACACUGAGAAUACAAAAAAUACUGAGAGUCCCUGUUCUCAGUCUAACAAGAAGGAGACAGCAAUGACACAAAUAUCUAAAAACAAGCUACCGACAGGAUAAAUAGCAAAUAAAAUUCACAUAGAAAAAGCACUCUAUUUUAAUGAUGAAAUGGACAGUGUCAGAGGAAUUAGGGAAGAUUUUUAUGAACUGAUUCAGAGUGAAGUGAGAAAAACUAGAAUGAUUUAUGCAUUGCUAUCCAUAUUACAGAGAAAAACAACUCUGAAAGACUUUAAAACUAUGAUCAAUGCAAUGUAAGCCACAGAUCCAAAGGAAUGGAGAUGAAGCAAGCCAUUCAGCUCUGGAAAGAAGUGCUUUAAAAAAAAAAGCAGAAAGAGAAACACACUUUUGGAAAUGGUAAAUGUGGGGAUUUGUUUUGCUCCACUGUCAUAUAUUUAGAGAUUUGUUUUUAAAUUUAAAAAAUUGCUUGGAAUUGAGAUGGGGAACUAGGUGCAGUGACAAAUGACAAAAGUGACAAGAUACAGAGAAAAGCAAAAAACCAUCUCUGUUCUCAAAGAACUGGCUCAUGUUUGAUGCUCAUAUGGCUAAUGAAGGCAAAAAAAAGUACAUUGGGUAGGACAGAAUUGAUGGAAGGUAAUGAUUGAUUGGGCAUUAACUAGUGGUUGAAGUGAGGGUAUGGGGGAGAAUCUUGCUGAAGAAGGUGGGGCUUGAGUUGGAUUUUAAAGAUAACCAGUUUGGGAGGGAGUUUAUUCUAAGUGUGGGAAAUGGCAGCAAAUGGUACAAUAUGACUGGGUAGAAGAGUAUGUGAAGGGUAAUAAUGUAAGACAAUUGGAAAGGCAGGAAUGGAUCAGGUUGAGAUAUCCUCAUGAGUUGCAUUUUUAUUACCAAAGAGUGGUCAUAAAAUUUGAUCUUGGAGGUAAUAAGAAACCACUAGAGUUUAUGAAAGAGGUGGGUUAUGUGGUCAGACUGUAGAUGGACAUGGUCAAAUGUUUUAGAAGAAUUACUUUGGUAGCUCUGAAGAGAAUAGAUUAGAGUCAACAAAUACUUGAAUUAUAAAACCAAGUAGGAAACUAUUAUUAUAAUGUAGGAAAGAGGUGAUGAAGGCAUACAUAAGCUAGGAUAGUGGCUCUGUAAGCACAGAAAUGGGGAUGGUUGUGAAUAGUAUUUUAUAUGAAAAAGUAUCCUAUUUGGCAAAGUGAUUGGAUAUGUUGGGUAAGAGAAAAAGGAAUCAAGAAUAAUAAUGCAGCCAUGAAUGUGGUAACUGAAAGGAUGAGGAGUUCCUCAAGAGUAAGAGGGAAAUUCAGUAAAAGAUUGAUUUUUGAAGGAUGGAUAGUGAUUUUUGUUUUGGAAAUGCCGAGUUUGAGACACUAGACAUUCAGUUUAAGAUAUCCACUGGAAGUUGGUGAAAUGGUAUUGUAGCUAAGAGAGACUAGGAUUGAAUAUCUAGAUCUCAGAAUCAUCUGCAUAGAGAUGCUAAUUGAGCUCAUGGGAAGUGAUGAAACUCUUGAGAGAGAGUAUAGAGAGAAAAGAGCAGAGGGCACAGGACAGAACAUUGGGGGAUACCCACAUUUAGUGGGUACAGCAUUAAUGAAGAACCAGCAAGAGGGAAUGAGAAGGAGCCCUAUAGAUAGGAAGAGAACCAGGAGAGAACAUUUACUAGUAUCAGAUACUGGAGGAUGCUUAAGAAGGAUAAGAAACAAGAGACUAUCGGUCUUGGCAAUUAAGAAGUCACUGGCAAUUUGGAAAGGGAGGUUUUAUUUGAGUGAUGAGGUCAUUUUAUGUAUGAACUGAUUCAAGUGCAAUAUGUAGAAACAGAACCAAACAGAACCAGGAGAAGAACCCACACAAUAACCACAACAAUUUAAAUGAAAUGUUCCCUAAAAGAAAGUUGAACUUAAAGAAACAUGAAAAUGAAGCAAUCAUUGGAAAACCAAGGAUGAUUCUGGAGAAGAGAUGAAAUACAUCGUCCCUACGGGCAGAGAGGGGUGAGUCCUGUUACACCUUCUCUUCAGGGUCCUCGGGUGCUUUCAAGAAGCCUGGGGAUGUCUCUUGUCUGUCAGCUUCAGUUCCCCAGUCGUGUUUCCCCUAUUCUUAGGUACCAACAGCAAGUAAUCCAAUAUAAGUUAAACAUGGAAUUCUUCUAAACAUUUCUAUAAUUAUCAUACUGCACAAGAAAAAAUAGAUCAAAAAGGAAAAAAAUGAGAAAGAAAAACAAGCAAUCAAACAACAACAAAAAAGGUAAAAAUACUAUGUUGUGAUCCACAUUCAGUCUCAUUAGUCCUUUUUCUGGAUGCAGAUGACUUCCUCUAUCACAAGUCUAUUGAAAUUGGCCUGAAUUAUCUUGUUUAAAAGAGUUGAUUAUCACAUAAUCUUGUGGCUGUGUACAGUGUUCUCCUGGUUCUGCUCAUUUUACUUAGGAUCAGUUCAUGUAAGUCUCUCCAGGCCUUCCUGAAAUCAUCCUGCUGAUCAUUUUUUUUAAUAAAACAACAAUAUCUCAUUAUAUGCUUAUACAUAACUUCUUCAGUCAUUCCCCAGCUCAUGGAUCUCCACUCAGUCUCCAAUUCUUUGCCUCUAUUAAAAGAGUUGCUAUAAACAUUUUGCACAUGUAGGUCCUUUUUCCAUUUUUUAUGAUUUUUUUUUGGGAUACAGACCCAAUAGAGACACUCCUGGAUCAAAGGGUAUAAACAGUGUACAAAGGGUAUGAUAUAUAUUUCUAUACUGUGGAAGUAUGCCCUUUGGACAUAGUUCCCAAUUGCUCUCCGGAAUGGUUGGAUCCGUUCACAGUUCCACCAACAAUGUGUUAGUGUCCCAAUUUUCCCACAUCCCCUCCAAUAUUUAUCAUUAUCUUUUCCUGUCAUCUUAGCCAAUAUGAGAGUGGUACCUCAGAAUUGUCUUAAUUUGCAUUUCUCUGGUUAAUAGUGAUUUAGAACAUUUUUCAUAUGACUAGAAAUGGAUUUAAUUUCUUCAUCUGAAAAUUGUCUGUUCAUAUGCUUUUACCAUUUAGUAAUUGGAGAAUGGCUUGUACUCUUAUAGAUUUGAGUUAAUUCUCUACAUAGAGAAAGGAAGCCUUUAUCAGAGCCCUUGGAUGUAAACUUUUUUCCCAGUUUUUUGCUUUUCUUCUGAUCUUGACUGCAUUGGCUUUGUUUGUA